rnacentral:lncRNA from 1 species
CCCACUGAGUAAGCUUCCUUUUCGAUGCUAUAUCUGCCACAUAAACCCUGCAAUCCAACCAAGCACGUGCGAAAUAAAUAAGAAAUCAAAGAAACACACCACUAAGAUAAAUAGAAGGAAGGAAAUCUUGCAUCCAUGGUGCUUGACUGAGUUUAGCAUUGUGAGACUCACAGGAGAUUAGCAGCGAUAAUAUCAUCAGUCCACUGCCUCCUCUCCAUGUUGCUUCCAUGGUCCUGUGGCCACGUGGGCAGCGAUUUCUGGUUGAGAAAGGGGGCUGCAGAAGCGCAGACAAAGGAUGCAGAGACCGCAUUGGCUACCGCCCCGAAACCGAGGCGGCCUCGGGGCGGUUUAGACUGCGAAGAAUGUGAUCCUCCGAAACCUCUCCGCAGGAUGACUGCCCGAGGAUGCC